CUAACAAUAACUAAAUGUUGCCUCUAUCUUGAAUUAAUUAUAGUAUACACAGUUCCAUUGUUCAUGAGAAUGCAACUGUGCACGCUUUUUAGGGUUUCACCCAAUUAGGUACCCAAGACUUAAAUGCUUUACCUCUGAAUUAUUUUGUUUAUAGGAAGCAGUCUCUACAUCUUGACCUGUUAGAAUUUUCAACAUUUAUUAGAAUAUAGGAAAUGCUGAUUUACCAAGCAUAAACCUUAUUGGUCUACAUUUUAUCCUGUCUGGAAGACUGCUAUUUUUAAAGGACUCUAAGAGCAUGAUCCUCAAAUUAGAAGUAUCAGAAGUAAAUUUGAAACCCCUAUAAAAGGUCAAGCAAAACAAAAAUAAAGGAUGCUGUAAUUAAACUAUAUAUAUCAAAUCACCAAAAGACAUAUAAAAGUGAGGUGUAUUUAUAGGUAUUUUGGUGAUUAUGUAUGCUUAAAUUACAGCAUCUUUCAUUUUUGUUUUAUUUCCCACUUUAUGAGGUCUUCAAAUGUACUUCUGGUAAGGAGAUUGAACAUUUGCUAACUAAUAUGAGUUUUAGUGGAGGAACAGAGGUAGAGUUUUUCUGUUUGGUCCAAUAAGUAAAAAAUAUCCAAAUGUGAUAACAUUUGCAUAGGUUUAUGGUAUAUGGAUUCAAGUAGACAUCAGAACAAUUGAGGUCAUUCCCAAACUAGGUCACUAGGGACUGUUACAUUUUUCCUAUAAAAAUAUGAUGCGGUAUAUAUGGGAUACUAAACUGCCAGUGUUUCUAGGUAUGAUAUUCAUUAUUUUUUGUAUAGCUUUAUUUUAUAGAAAAGGGCGUGUAUGGAACUCUAAGAUAUGCAUUUGUCUCUGACGAUAUAUUUGUAUAACCAAUAAUUAGUCCUUGUUGCUAACUCCCCAUAAAUACAAAUAUAAUUCUUUGUGCUAAUGUCUAUACAAUUCUAAGAAAAGCGUUAGACGAUCGUGAUGGGAUGACUUGAAACACAACAGAAACACUGAUGACUUAAAGGGACACUAUAGUCACCAGAACAACUACAGCUUAUUAAAUUUGUUCUGGUGAGUAGAAUCAUUACCUUCAGGCUUUUUGCUGUAAACACUGUCUUUUCAGAGAAAAUGCAGUGUUUACAUUACAGCCUAGUGAUAACUUCACUGGCCACACCUCAGGUGGCUGUUAGAGAUCCUUCCUGGGUCAUGGUUGCCUAAAAUGCAUCCAAACAUUCAGUGUUUCCUCCCUCUGCAUGCAGACACUGAACUUUCCUCAUAGAGAUUCUUUGAUUCAAUGCCUCUCUAUGAUGAGAUGCUGAUUGGCCAGGGCUGUGUUUGAAUCAUGCUGGCUCUGCCCCUGAUCCGCCUCCUCGUCAGUCUCAGUCAAUCCUAUGGGGAAGCAUUGUGAUUGGAUCAGGCCACCACUUCUAAUGAUGUCAGCAGACUGCUUGUUUUUCUGAGUCUAACAGCAUGCAGAUUUACAGCUUCAGACUUGAAUACAGUAAGAUUGUUACUAUAUUUAUGGAGGCAUGAGGGAAUCAGGGGGGCUAGAUGGUGGUUUUAACACUAUAGGGUCAGGAAUACAUGUUUGAUACUUUAGGAUUCUCACUGGACCAGAAGUCAUCAACUAAAAAGUAGUUGAAGUACCUAUGUAUUUGAUGUAUCUAAAUAAUAUAUCACUGUAGAAAAUACAUCUAGUCCUAAAACUCAAAAUUUUACAGAAACUUCUCAUUCUGAAUACAAAAUGAGCUGCACAAAGUAUUAUAUAUUGCUCUGUUUAAUCUGCUGUCAUUUUUCAUUGAUUUUACUUCUGAAUUUAUCAAAUGUACUCAUCUUGAAAUUUGUCGGCUAUUCAUGACUAAAACAAGGCAUUAUGACUCAAUUCUUUUACAAUACCUUCUGUCUUAACAGUUUUUGGCAAAGAACAUCGCACGACUGUAACACUAACAUAAUCACUGAUGUUCAUAAUCACCGUUUCUAUGCUUAUUUCUGUAUCAAUAUAUUUAUUAGAGUACUGCAGAUGAAGGCGAGACAAGCACAAUAUACGUGGUUCAUUGUGAUUCUGUCAGUUGUAUUAGACUGGUAUUUUGCAAAGUGUACAUUUCUGAAACACAGAAAUAAAG